AUCUAUGACCAUGCUACCCUGAAUGUGCCUGAUCUCAUCUGAUCUUGGAAGCUAAGCAAGGUUGGGCCCGGUUAGUACUUGGAUGGGAGACCAAAGUGCUGGCAUUACAGGCA
ensembl:rRNA RNA5SP194 RNA, 5S ribosomal pseudogene 194